rnacentral:rRNA from 1 species
GUCGAACGAUGAUGCCCAGCUUGCUGGGUGGAUUAGUGGCGAACGGGUGAGUAACACGUGAGUAACCUGCCCCUGACUCUGGGAUAAGCGUUGGAAACGACGUCUAAUACUGGAUAUGAUCACUGGCCGCAUGGUCUGGUGGUGGAAAGAUUUUUUGGUUGGGGAUGGACUCGCGGCCUAUCAGCUUGUUGGUGAGGUAAUGGCUCACCAAGGCGACCGACGGGUAGCCGGCCUGAGAGGGUGACCGGCCACACUGGGACUGAAACACGGCCCAGACUCCUACGGGAGGCAGCAGUGGGGAAUAUUGCACAAUGGGCGAAAGCCUGAUGCAGCAACGCCGCGUGAGGGAUGACGGCCUUCGGGUUGUAAACCUCUUUUAGUAGGGAAGAAGCGAAAGUGACGGUACCUGCAGAAAAAGCACCGGCUAACUACGUGCCAGCAGCCGUGGUAAUACGUAGGGUGCAAGCGUUGUCCGGAAUUAUUGGGCGUAAAGAGCUCGUAAGCGGAUUGUCGCGUUUGCUGUGAAAUCCCGAGGCUCAACCUCGGGCUUGCAGUGGAUACGGGCAGACUAGAGUGCGGUAGGGGAGAU